CUGUAUCAUAACGAGCUUGGAGAUGAAGGGGCAAAAUGUCUGUCUGAAGCCCUGCAGAGUCCAAACAGUAAAAUACAGGAGCUUGAGCUGUCAUUGAAUGAAAUUGGAAGUGAAGGGGCAAAACAUCUGUCCGAUGCCCUAAAGAGUCCAAACAAUAACUUAGAGCAGCUAAACCUGUAUUAUAACGAGCUUGGAGAUGAAGGGGCAAAAUGUCUGUCUGAAGCCCUGCAGAGUCCAAACAGUAAAAUACAGGAGCUUGAGUAAGCACCUUUGUUUUUGUUCUGGUCACAAUUAUGCUUUUAAGACACAGUAAAUUGUUGAAUCAUUUAAUGCACAUGUAUGAUGGAGAACAAUUAUGGAAGUUUCAAAACUGAAAAUAUUUGCAUGAGGAAAUACCAUUAAACAAUGUAAUGUAACAUCUUCGUGCUGUAGACUGAUAUUCUUCCCUCAGAAUU